UACGAAGGGGGCUAGCGUUGUUCGGAAUCACUGGGCGUAAAGGGCGCGUAGGCGGCCUUGUAAGUCGAGGGUGAAAGCCUGUGGCUCAACCACAGAAUUGCCUUCGAUACUGCAGGGCUUGAGACCGGAAGAGGUUAGUGGAACUGCGAGUGUAGAGGUGAAAUUCGUAGAUAUUCGCAAGAACACCAGUGGCGAAGGCGGCUGACUGGUCCGGUUCUGACGCUGAGGCGCGAAAGCGUGGGGAGCAAACAGG
rnacentral:rRNA from 1 species